AAAUGAAGUCAUUCAGUCGUGUCCGACUCAGCGACCCCAUGCGCUGCAGCCUACCAAGCUCCUCCGUCCAUGGGAUUUCCCAGGCAAGAGUACUGGAGUGGGGUGCCAUUGCCUUCUUCCUACUCAACUUUAGGAUAUAUUUAAUUUUGAGAGAUGAUGACUAGCUCAGGUGAUGUUCAUGGAGACUAAAUGUUAACAGAAGAUGCUAAACCUCUGGCUUUCAUGGUCUACUAGGAAACACAGAUGAAUGAACAAGAGAAAUGACUCUUGGUAACAAAGAUUCUGGUGCUGAGAAACAAGAGUAUGGUAAAAAAUUUGAUCUUUGUUAACCAGACUAUAGUUUCCUUGGAAAAUCUCUAGAAUCAUACUGAGGAAUGGUUUCAGGAAUAACCAUGAAAGCCCUGACUAGCUUGUUGGAUGUUGAGAUCAUAUGGAGAAG
ensembl:lncRNA